AGAUUGUUGAUAAAGAAGAAAUCAGUCGAUGUAGUUCAAAAAAUAAUAAUGUAUAUUAAGACGGAAUUAGUUUUAGGUAUUGGGUUAAUUGUACCUUAAUAAAGGAAUUAAAAAAGGAGUGCCGACCAGAGAUGGAAGGAACGCUUUUAUUAGAUCACAACCAAUUGGUCGGCUCGUCCGGUCCGUUUGCCUUUGUGACUCUGAAUAAUUUUGGGCUGAUCGCACGGUCUCUGUACUGGCGACGCAUCUUUCAAAUGUCUGCUUUAACUGUCGAUGGUAGGAUCUGUGCCUACCAUGGCUGUAACGGGUGACGGGGAAUCAGGGUUCGAUUCCGGAGAGGGAGCCUGAGAAAUGGCUACCACAUCCAAGGAAGGCAGCAGGCGCGCAAAUUACCCACCCCCAGCACGGGGAGGUAGUGACGAAAAAUAACUCUACAGGACUCAUACGCGGCCCCAUAAUCGGAAUGAGUACACUUUAAAUCCUUUAACGAGUAUCUACUGGAGGGCUAGUCUGGUUAUAGCAGCCGCAGUAAUUCCAGCUCCAAUAGCGUAGAUUGAAGUUGUUGUGGUUUAAAAGCUCGUAGUUGAAUUUGUGUCCCACACUGUUUGUUCACCACCCGUCAGUGUUUAACUGGCAUGUAUGGUGGGACGUCCUGCCAGUGGGGCGAGCCGAAGGCGCGUGGCCACCUUGUGCAUGCUUGUGCGUCCCGAGGCAGACCCCGCUGAACUCUUACUGCAGUGCUCUUUACAGAGUGUCGAGGCGGGCCGGCACGUUUAAUUUCUUCCAAGUAGAGUGCUUAAAGCAGGCAAGCCCACCUGAAUACUGUGUGCAUGGAGUAAUGGUAUAGGACCUCGGUUCUAUUUUGUUGUUUUUCAGAACCCGAGGUAAUGAUUAAUAGGGGCAGGCGGGGGCAUUCGUAUUACGACGUUAGAGGUGAAAUUCUUGGACCGUCGCAAGACGGAAAGAAGCGAAAGCAUUUGCCAAGUAUGUUUUCAUUCUUCAAGAGCGAAAGAGGUUCGAAGGCGACCAGAUACCGCCAUAGUUCUAACCACAAAUGAUGCCAGUCAGCGAUCCGCCGCAGUUCCUCCGAUGACUCGGCGGGCAGCCUCCGGGAAACCAAAGCUUUUGGGUUCCAGGGGAAGUAUGGUUGCAAAGCUGAAACAAAGGAAUUGCCGGAAGGGCACCACCAGGACUGGAGCCUGCGGCUUAAUUUGACUUCAACACGGAAACCUCACCAGGCCCAAACACCGGAAGGAUUGACAGAUUGAUAGCUCUUUCUUGAUUCGGUGGGUGGUGGUGCAUGGGCGUUCUUAGUUGGUGGAGCGAAUUGUCUGGUUAAUUCCGAUAACGAACGAGACUCUAGCCUGCUAACUAGUGACGUGACAGCACGAAGGUUGUCAGCGAUUACUUUUAUUCUUAGAGGAACAGGUGGCGUCUAGCCGCACGAGAUUGAGCAAUAACAGGUCUGUGAUGCCCUUAGAUGUUCUGGGCCGCAUGCGCGCUACACUGAAGGAAUCAGCGUGUCUUCCUAGUCCGGAAGGUCGGGGUAACCCAGUGAACCACCUCCGUGCUAGGCAUUGGGACUUGCAAUUUUUCCCCAUGAACGAGGAAUUCCCAGUAAGCGCGAGUAAUAAGCUCACGUUGACUACGUCCCUGCCCUUUGUACACACCGCCCAUCGCUACUACCGAUUGAAUGAUUUAGUGACGUUUUAGGACUGGUACGCGGCAUCGACUAUCAUUUAGAGGAAAUAAAGUCAUCUUUCCGGUAGCAUCGGCAAUGACAAAGUCGUAACAAGGUUUCCAUAGGUGAACCUGUGGAAG
rnacentral:rRNA from 1 species